ensembl:snRNA U1 U1 spliceosomal RNA
GUGUCUACCUGGCAUGGGGAGACACCAUGAUCAAGAAGGCAGUUCACCAGGGGCGAGGCUCGUCCAUUGCACUCCGGCCGUGCUGACCCCUGCGAAUUCCCCAAAUGUGGGAAUCUCGACUGCAUAAUUUAUGGGGAAGUC